rnacentral:rRNA from 1 species
CAGAGGGUGCGAGCGUUGUCCGGAAUCACUGGGCGUAAAGGGCGCGUAGGCGGCCGGGUAAGUAGGGGGUGAAAUCCCACAGCUCAACUGUGGGGCUGCCUUCUAGACUGCCUGGCUCGAGCACGGUAGAGGCUGGUGGAAUUCCCGGUGUAGCGGUGGAAUGCGUAGAGAUCGGGAAGAACAUCGGUGGCGAAGGCGGCCAGCUGGGCCGUUGCUGACGCUGAGGCGCGAAAGCGUGGGGAGCAAACAGGAUUAGAUACCCUGGUAGUCCACGCUGUAAACGAUGGGUACUAGGCGUCGGGGGGAGCGACCCCUUCGGUGCCGUCGCUAACGCAGUAAGUACCCCGCCUGGGGAGUACGGUCGCAAGACUG